GCAAUUACUGUUCUUUAGUCUGAGCUGCAGUAUGCUUAGAACUGUAGGAUUAUUUUUUAAUUAAACAAUGCUAGAAAGAGAGAAAUGUAUGAGAGAGAGAGAACAUAGAAUCAGAGUUUUAAAACAGGCCAUGUGUAGGAAAUUGCUGGAAUGCAGAGCAGUGCUCAGCAGCCUAAGUGUUGGGGCCAACGCACCUGGCUGCCUGGCAGGUUUCAGAUCUUUGCACCUGAGCACACCUGCACUUUGCACACAGUCUCUUCCAGGAAUUGCUUUAUGAUCUGCAGGAAGAGACAGCCUUGUUCUCAGAAGGAAACAGACUUCCAUUGGGAGACAGAUGACAGGUGUCUGAAGGAAGCUCAGAUGCAUAUUUGCAAAGAAAUCGAUUCAAUAUUUGUUCAGAACAAGUGGGGAUUUGCCAUUGAAAAUCUGGGAGAGUGUCUCAGUGGAUAUUCCAGGAGCUGGCAGGGAGAGCACCCUCAUAGGACAUAAAACUCAUCUGGCCCUAGAGGUUGAUUUUCUUGUUUUCAGGAAACAACAGCAACUCUUUCACCCACUACUAACAUUAGGAAACUUAGCUUCACGUGGUGACACUCACCUUUAAUCCCAGCACAUGGGAGGCAGUAGCAGAUGGAUCUCUGUGAGUUCGAGGGCAGCCUAGUCUACAUACUGAGUUCCAAGACAGCCAAGGCCGCAGAGGAACCCUGUCAGGGGUGGGGAGGACUUUGAUGAGUGAAAGUGACGUUCCUUACUCUACACAAUAGAGACAGAUGGAGGCGGGAUCACCGUGGAGUGCAGAAAGGCUUCUGUUGGUCAGUUCCUGUGAUGUCAGAAACGCCUUCCCACUCUGAGAAAUCAUUAGCCAGCCACCUAAGCCGCUUGAAGGGAGGAACGUGUGUUUUCCCUGGAAUUGUUGUUUUCCUCUGUAUCCGUGUCAUGUAGAAUUACAGCUAGGGUUAAUUACAAGUUGUCAAGGCCAGGCCGUGUGCCAAGCCUUCUAAAUGCGUAUCCAUUAUGUGCUUGUAGCAAGGCUGGCCUAAGCUCUUGUGAUUACCACGGGGGCUGGGUUGCUCUUGGCAAUUGGUGGUGCGUCCUAGACAACAGUACUGCACCAAGGGGAGCCAUUUGAGAUCAUCCUUCGUCAACGGGAGGAAGGUCUCAAAGACAAAGUAGGUCGUUAACACGAAGACAGAUGAGUUCCUGUUCAUCAAAAUGCCGCGGGGUUCACCUCCUCAGAUACGUUAUGUUCUGUGUGUAAAGACAAAAUUUUAAACUUUGAGUUUUUAGAGCUGAAGGGGGGGGGGAACGAGCUAUAGCUUUUAAAAGAUCAAAAUGUUGUCAGUGAGUUUGGCUCACUGAGCCAUAUUCUUAGCACCUGUUAAUAAACAAAUCCCGUAUGAGCCUAGGGAUGUGGGGGUCCCUUGUCACUGUUCCUAUCAGGAUCUUCAGCUCCCUCACCAGUGUCCCCCUGGCUCAUCAUUUUUCCAGUAGCUGCAAUUAUUCCAAUGGACAAAGAGGCUUCUGUAAAACCUGCUAUUUCCUUCUGCCUCUCCUGCCAUGGUAUGCUGACCUUUUCUCCUCCUGACUUAGGAGAUUCGACUGUCAUUUGUUUCGAUGUGACAGCCGUUAAGCUCUGCUGUUACUAAUCCUUAAAUGACAUGAACUUCCAUUGGAUUAAUUAUUGUGUUUUGAGAAGGUAGCCCCCAAACUUGAUCUCCUGCUAAGUUUCUACUUUACUAUGGAGAUGAUGUGUCUGUGUCUCUAUAGUAGAAGUACAGCGGCAUUGUGGGCCACUCUGCAUUUCUUCCUAGCAUUCCGGGACAUCACACUGAAAGAUUAGAUUUAAGAUUCUCUGACAGUUGAUAAGCACUCUUAAGCCAGAGCUAGAUGUAUCAUCUGGUUGAUUGUCUGCUGUUUUGCCUUGGAAGUGCCCUGUCGCUAGGCCUGUCUCAUUUCCAACGUCACACAUGAACGGAGGAAUAAUCUCCUGGUAUUGAGAAGAUAUUCUCCCAUGCAUCAGUGGAAGCACUCAUAGCACUGGCAAAUGGGUAGAGUUCUCUAAACGUCAUUUGUCUUACUUUCAUCUGAUCAAUGUAAAGUAAAAUGCCAACAAGCAUCUUGUCAGAACUAUACAUUCACCAGUGGCGGAGGAAAUGGGCUAGACACAAAUACAAAAAUUCUACAAAGUAUACACAGCACUCUGACAGUUAUAGUAAAACCAUUGUGAAUAUUUCUACUAAUAAUUUAUAUAAUAUAUAAUUAUACGAUAUAAUAUAAAUAUAUUUUAUAACAUAUAAUAUAAACAUAUUAUUUCUUAUAUUAUUGGAAUAUAAAUGUAUAAUAUCUUUAUAAUAUAAUAUAAAAAUAUAUUAUAAAUAUAUAUUAUAUAUAAUAGGUAGCAUGAUAUGAUAUAUACAAAUAUAUGACCAUAACUGUUAUCUAUUUUACUAUUUAUAAUUCACUAUAUGAUGCUUUUUAGCGAUAUCUCUGCAUAGUAAUUUUUAAGAUAAUGCUAACAAUAGUUAUUAUGAAUUGCUCACAAGUGGCAGAUAUUAUGAGAUAAAUUCACAGUUCUUAUAUUGCUGAAGACAAGGAGGCGAUGAGGACACUAAACCCAGGUCCUUCUAGCACUAGGUGGAAAAGAUGGCAUUUGUUUACUAGAUCGUAUUAGCAAGAGACAUGGCAAAUACUUAGACUUAUGUAAUUCAUAUCAACCCUGUGCUAAUUAAAAAGUAUGCCCUCAUUAGCUUUCCAUUACCUCAACAAAAUACCUUACAAGGAAAACAGAUGGGGCUGGAGAGAUGGUUCAGUAGUUAAGAAUUUCAGUUCCUCUAAAGGACUUAAGUUCACUUCCAAGAACCCAUAAUCCCCUGUAUUUCACAGCAGGAAAGCCAAUGCCUCGGUCCUCCGCAGCCCUCUGUACUCAUGUGCACAUACCUCCAUUCAGAUACAAGCAUCUAUAAGUAAUGAAAAACUAUAAAAUAUAUUUUUUAAAUAGAAAAGGUACCCAAGAUGAGUCAGUCCAAUUGCUCUGGGUCUCAGGUGGGCUUGACAUAUGGCAAGGGCAAAGAGCAUAUGAUAGAGUUAAGGCCCUCCCC
rnacentral:lncRNA from 1 species